rnacentral:rRNA from 1 species
GACGAACGCUGGCGGCGUGCUUAACACAUGCAAGUCGAACGCUGAAGCUCAGCUUGCUGGGUGGAUGAGUGGCGAACGGGUGAGUAACACGUGAGUAACCUGCCCUCUUCUUUGGGAUAACGCCCGGAAACGGGUGCUAAUACUGGAUAUUCACUGAUUCUCGCAUGGGGGUUGGUGGAAAGGUUUUUUCUGGUGGGGGAUGGGCUCGCGGCCUAUCAGCUUGUUGGUGGGGUGAUGGCCUACCAAGGCUUUGACGGGUAGCCGGCCUGAGAGGGUGACCGGUGACAUUGGGACUGAGAUACGGCCCAGACUCCUACGGGAGGCAGCAGUGGGGGAUAUUGCACAAUGGGCGAAAGCCUGAUGCAGCGACGCCGCGUGAGGGAUGGAGGCCUUCGGGUUGUAAACCUCUUUCGCCCAUGGUCAAGCCGCAGCUUUGGGUUGUGGUGAGGGUAGUGGGUAAAGAAGCGCCGGCUAACUACGUG